rnacentral:rRNA from 1 species
AUUGAACGCUGGCGGCGUGCUUAACACAUGCAAGUCGAUCGGUAACGCGGGGGCAACCCUGGCGGCGAGAGGCGGACGGGUGAGGAACGCUUGGGAAUCUGCCUAUCAGCGGGGGACAACACGGGGAAACUCGUGCUAAUACCGCAUACGCUCUACGGAGGAAAGCCGGGGACCGCAAGGCCUGGCACUGAUAGAUGAGCCCAAGCCGGAUUAGCUAGUUGGCGGGGUAACGGCCCACCAAGGCGACGAUCCGUAGCUGGUCUGAGAGGACGAUCAGCCACACUGGGACUGGGACACGGCCCAGACUCCUACGGGAGGCAGCAGUGGGGAAUAUUGGACAAUGGGCGCAAGCCUGAUCCAGCAAUGCCGCGUGCAGGAUGAAGGCCUUCGGGUUGUAAACUGCUUUUGUACGGAGCGAAAAGGCUCUGGUUAAUACCUGGGGUCCAUGACGGUACCGUAAGAAUAAGCACCGGCUAACUACGUGCCAGCAGCCGCGGAAACAC